GCUGGUUGUCACCUAUGCCCAUCCAUACAAGCGCUAGUGUUUCGGUUCCCGUGUAUUUAAAUAUUAUGCGCCUUUCCCGUGGAUAUGUGAAUAUUUUGAAGAUUCUCAGUUUAGUCGGCAGCUAUGAAACCUUCUAUUAGGAUAGCAGGCUACCGGCGAACAUUUGUAUCUUAGGCUAAGGUCACCGUAUACAUCAUUGAUACACCCACCGUGGGAUUUGGCCACUUAUCAUUUUCCGUAGACGUUUCGAACUAAGCACCUUCGCUGGCUGUAUGAAUAAUGUAGUGAAGUUAGUCCUGUUAUGCCUUAAAAAUGAUUUUGACUCUUUUUGAGGGGGCCUCUGGCACAGCCCCAGUGCAACGCAAGCGUGCCCAAUGGCCUCUGGAACGGAGUUUGAGACAGCGGACCUAGACUCAGUCAUCAAUGUCAUUGGACUCACACCAAGUGAUCCCCUCGACACAUUUGUUGAGAUCUGGUACCAGGUGUUCCUGUGGGCGCUGUUUUCGUCUCUCUUUGUUCACUUCGUGGCUGCAGUGGUCGCCUUCAGCAUGCUGAGGAAGCAACAGAUAGGCCGCUUCAGCCCACUGCUCAUCUUGCUCAUGGGCCUGGUGGCGCCCUUGACAGGAGGCGCCCUGACGAGUGCAGUGAUAGCUGGUGUGUACCGGGCAGCUCGGUUUCACAUGAUGCCCUUCUACGCACUGGUGUGGGGCUGUGGGCAGACAGUGUUUGCAGUUGUCAUGUCCUACACCCGAGUCCUUGCCACCCUCUGACCUUGCUGCUGGAUGACUUGCCAGAGAGGCCAGGCCAGGAUGCCAGUGUUGUGCACCUCAGAGGAGGAGACUGCUGCGGCAUUUGUGCCCUAUGCUGCCGCAUCUUCGGCUCAGCUAUGCAGCCCCAAAUUUCACCCGACCAAAGCCUUCAGCUGCUUGCUUUAUUAUCUGUUCAUAUGUGCUCCUGCGAUUUGUGUUGUUCAAAGAAAGGGCUGUGUCACAAUUUGUCAUUUCCAACUGACACAGCCCGCUGACUCUUGAUCAAUGGCAUGGCCAUUUGCAGUCGCCUUGGCAUGGUGUUUUUUUAUUGCUGAUGGGAUUUUUGUUUCUUUCUUAUGACUUUUUGCAAGGGGGCGCUUAGUCAGGUUCUAUUUACUACACCAGCCACAAUUUUGAAGUGUUUAAAGGCUUGGCAUAGUGCCUACGAGAAUGGAAACAUUUGUGUGGUUGUCAUGAGGUUUUGAAGCCAUGCCUUCUGUGUGGUUGAGAAGCCCUUGCCAGGUAUUGUGGUGACCCAAAAGAAAAGGGGUUGCAGUCAGCUGCGGUCGGAUGGCACACUCAUGUGGCUGCUGCACUGAUGAGAGCAUCACCCCGCAAUUCAUUCCCGGCACAGGACAGUGGAAUUAUUAGUCAGUUUUUGUGAAUGUUUAGUGAAGACAGUAUUACUUCGUGUGAUCAGGUUUGUGUCAGCCUGGUACAGGGCUACUGCAAAUAGGAACAGAGGGUUCCUAAAACUUGAACUUGUCAUAUUGGUGGCUAUGGCUACAGUCAAAGAGUGCACCAUUUGGUGUAAGUGCAGAGUCCACUUGGAAAGUGCAGUGGAGCAUUAGCCGUCACGGCUCCACCGCCAUGAGCAUGAAAACUUGAGCCAUUAUGUGAUGUAUCGUUGCUCAUUUUCCCUUUAUUCAUGUUUUUCAUAGUCGCGUUAAAUUUUCUUUUGACAUUAGUUUUUUCUAUCAUAUUUUCAUUUGUCAUUGAUGGAAAAUACUGAUAGCGCUUCUGUCUGGAAGAUCUCCAUUACUUGUUGUAGCAUUUCUUUGCUGAGGCAUUUUGUGAUGAAGUCUUAACUACCUGAGGAGGGCUCAAUGUCUGUAUUGCAAAACAGUGGUCCGGUGUAGGUGCAUAAGAACAAAGUGUGCUUUUUUUCAUGCAUCCUAAUAUGCUUGUUAUCAUGUAAAACUUUUUCUGUGUUGGUGGUUCUGGUUUUGCGAACCUUUGCUUUUUUUAGAUGGAGGAAGGAGGACAUGGCUUUUGCAGUGACUUCAGUUGCUCUAGACACUUGGCAUCCAUAAUUCCUCAAAUUUGUUUUAUUGUACAGUGCUUAGAAUGCAUGUGGGUUGUUCUUUUUUUGCAGGUGUAGUUGAUUGCAGCUUCGAAAGUGACUCCUAAGCAAGACUUGCACAAAGAGGGUACUGUGUGUUGUUCGGGUAAUGAAAAAGUUUAUGCAGCAGUGACUAAAAUUGCUGCAAUACAAGCGAAGUGCUCUUUUUUCACUGGAAGUGUCUCCCAGAGAUUUUGAAUAAGACUGUGCAGGUAAAUAAGUGCAAGUUGAAAUGCCACAGCACUGUGCUGCCAACAAAAUAUAGACUCCUGUCUUUAUGUAUUAUGUGCUAUCUGCUAGCACGAAGCUACAAAUGUACCCUUUUGGAAACAUGUUUUGAUUAUGAAAAAGGUGACUUGCACCAAAGUAUAAUCUGCAAGUUAUUGACCACCGAAGUGAUUGAUUUUUUUUGGGCUGACUGUAGGUGACAUUGACAUCAUGUGCUGCAAAUGAUUAUAUGCAAACAACUGCAAUGGGUGGCACUUUUGAUUGACAUUUUUUUUUUCAGAAUCCUCCUUCCUACAUCUUUUUUGAUUUCUGUAAUGAUCAGAGCAGUAAGUUAUGUCACAUAACAUCUUUACCAAGCUUCUACUGGGCUAUUCCCUGCUUUGGGAUAGUCCUGAAUGUAAUUUGCUGCUUGUUCAUGUUUAAGCUAUGCUUGUGCAGCUUUUUAUAUUGGCAGCAACUGAAAACCAUGUGCAUUCUAUUGCUGUCUUGCAGGUGGCUUGCAUAGUAACUUAAGGGUCUACGGGUAAAGUUUGAAAAGAAGCCCAAAGUUGGAAGGAAAAUUAAGUAUAACUUUGAUGCCUUUUUCUAGUAGGCUAUUUUAUUUCUAGGCCUGUCUUGGUUCUCUGUUUUUAUUCUUUUUAUAAUGUGUGUGCAACAUGUGAGAAUUCAAAGCUGUGUUUUGUUUGUCCACAUCAUUUGUUUCUUCUUGAGAACAUUGUUGCCUGGGGCAAAAUGUGGCGUAUAUGAAAGGCGUUUCAAGGGUGCCAAUUAUUUAAUACUCAAAAACAUUGCAGUGCAUUAAGGCAACAAUAGUUAGCACCAACUGCCAUCUUUCAAAUUGCUGCUUCUCUGUUGUUCACCAAGUGUCUGCCUUCCAAGUUAGAGGGCUCAACACCAUUGCAAUAAGCAUUUCUGCUUCUGUGUUUUUGCCUUCAAGCUGGACCUACAUUAGGUUGUGCUAAAUUACGUGGCAGUGGUACUGAGUUCCUUUUGUCAGUAGUGAAAUGGCUGUUGGUGGCACAUGGUGGCACGUGCCUGUGUGUAAAGGAGCAGCACAGUUUUGAUGUCUUAGUACAAGACCCUGCGAGCAGUGAAUUGUGAGACAGGAGAGGUCACAACGUUACUUGUAUUAAAGUGUACAGUGUGUCUCUGUCCCAGGACAAGGCCAACAUGUAAAUAUUGUACAUAACCAUCAUAGGCAGAGUCAUUCUACCAGGCCAGACAGGAACACCUAACUUGUUCAGGAUGCUGUAUGGAGUAUGUUGUGAAUAGUGUAAAUACCUGUUGCAAAGGUCAGUGGUGCCACAAGAAAUGUUCUGCGACACUACAGUGGAUGGACAAGAAAGUGGUAAAGACUGCUAUGGCGGCAUGCUUUAUUUUGUCGAAUAAAACAACCCGAGAAGAGAAAUAAAAAAAAGCUUCUUCCAGUAAUCUUGUUGCUUUCA
rnacentral:misc_RNA from 1 species